rnacentral:lncRNA from 1 species
CUACUUCCUGCCUCCCCAGCAGCAUCAAAGAGAAAUAACUCCUCUAGAAUUACAAGCUGAGUUCUGCUUGGGACUGAGACUCCUUUCACCAGCAGUUCUGCUUGUCCGGGUACGUAAGCUGGCACUCUCAUCCCUGAGAGCUAUGAACCCCUACAGCAGCAGUCACAUGACGGAUGCAUGUAUCCUUUUGCACUCAAAAAAUCAGGCGUUGGGUACAAAAACUACACCAUGUAGCCACAUUCUUUAUGUCUUCAAGGAGACACUUCUGCAGUUGUCCUCAAGGCUCAGCAUUUCCCUGGCUGUGUCAUGUGGUAACUGCAGUCUAGAUGUUGGUCUAAUUGCCAGAAAAGAAGAUACAGAUAGAUCCUCAGCAAGCAGAGGCUUUCAGCAUCUUCAGUGACGAGUAAGAGGAGAAUAAAAGCAUCCAGCUAAGAAAUCUGAAGACCACUGACCAAGUGAAACAUUUGAAGAAGGAUGAAUUAUCCAGAGAAAAUGCCCCAAGAAAAAGAGCAGAUUGGCCUAAUGGUAUAGCACAUUUCCAGAUAAAAUCUCAUAGUCUUCUCAAAUGUUUGUCUCUGCUGUUCUCUAAAGAUGUAUAUAGAAAAUGGUCUUUUAGCCGGGUGUUGGUGGCGCACGCCUUUAAUCCCAGCACUCGGGAGGCAGAGGCAGGUGGAUCUCUGUGAGUUCGAGACCAGGCUGGGCUCAAGAGCGAGUUCCAGGAUAAGCUCCAAAGCUACACAGAGAAACCCUGUCUCCAAAAACCAAAAAAAAAAAGAAAGAAAAUGGUCUUUUGUAAUCCCAAUUCAAUUAAAAAUUAAACUUGGCUCUCUCCUCCUCUAGACCCAAGCAUGCUUGUUAAAGGAAAUUCCAAAAUCUCUGUCUCAUGUCAGAAGAGUCACCUAGUAUGGGGCAGAAUAAAAACCAAAAUUCUAUUGCCACUAAUCUCAUAAUCCUUUGGUUUUAUUUUGACUCUUUAAAACUUUUCUUAAGGUAUAGAUAUUAUCUCAAAAUUUAUAAGAUUAAUAUAUAUAUGCAUACAUAUAUAUUAAUAUUGUGAUAUUAAUAGUCAUAUAGAGUACUAACUGAUUCUAGUAAUAGACUUCAUCUUGCUUCCUGUAUGUGAUUUCUGACCUGAGUCUGAAGCAGGUAACUAGGAACUACGUUUGUGUACCUCAGAUGUAUUUACUAGAUUGUGGUCCUUUAACCUCUCUGAUAUCUGCUGCACAAUGAUGUGGGAUUGAUGUGGGGUGUCCUUCUGUAUGCUCUUUUUUCUUUUCUGUAUGCUUUUAUUGGUUGAUAAAUAAAGCUACUUUGGCCAAUGGCAGGGCAGAAGAUAGCUAUGUGGGAAAGCCAAACUGAAUGCAGGGAGAAAGAAGGUCAGAAUCUAGAGGUGCCAUCCAGUCGCCUAAGGAACAGCAUGCCAGAGCACCACUGGGGGAAAUGUUGCAGAAGAAUUGUUCAUAGAGUCAUUCCACUGUGCCAAUAAAGCCA